rnacentral:rRNA from 1 species
UUCGAUGCAACACGAAGAACCUUACUGGGUUUGACAUGUUGGUAGUAGUGAAGUGAAAGCGGAACGAUCCUUCGGGAAGCCAUCACAGGUGCUGCAUGGCUGUCGUCAGCUCGUGCCGUGAGGUGUUGGGUUAAGUCCCGCAACGAGCGCAACCCUCGUCCUUAGUUGCUAACAGUUCGGCUGAGCACUCUAGGGAGACUGCCUUCGCAAGGAGGAGGAAGGUGAGGACGACGUCAAGUCAUCAUGGCCCCUACGGCCAGGGCUACACACGUGCUACAAUGGGGCGUACAGAGAGCUGCGAUACCGCGAGGUGGAGCCAAUCUCUUAAAGCGUCUCUCAGUUCGGAUUGUUCUCUGCAACUCGAGAACAUGAAGCUGGAAUCACUAGUAACCGCAGAUCAGCUAUGCUGCGGUGAAUACGUUCCCGGGUCUU